UUGUUGGUAAGGUAAAAGCUUACCUAGGCUUCGAUCAGUAGCUGGUCUGAGAGGACGACCAGCCACACUGGGACCGAGACACGGCCCAGACUCCUACGGGAGGCAGCAGUGGGGAAUUUUGGACAAUGGGGGCAACCCUGAUCCAGCCAUGCCGCGUGAGUGAAGAAGGCCUUCGGGUUGUAAAGCUCUUUCAGCCGGAACGAAACGGUUACGGUUAACACCCGUGACUACUGACGGUACCGGAAGAAGAAGCACCGGCUAACUACGUGCCAGCAGCCGCGGUAAUACGUAGGGUGCGAGCGUUAAUCGGAAUUACUGGGCGUAAAGCGUGCGCAGGUGGUUUUGUAAGUCAGAUGUGAAAGCCCCGGGCUCAACCUGGGAACUGCGUUUGAAACUACAAGACUAGAGUGUGGCAGAGGGGGGUGGAAUUCCGCGUGUAGCAGUGAAAUGCGUAGAGAUGUGGAGGAACACCGAUGGCGAAGGCAGCCCCCUGGGUCAACACUGACGCUCAGGCACGAAAGCAUGGGGAGCAAACAGGAUUAGAUACCCUGGUAGUCCAUGCCCUAAACGAUGUCAACUAGUUGUCGGGCCUUUACGGGCUUGGUAACGUAGCUAACGCGUGAAGUUGACCGCCUGGGGAGUACGAUCGCAAGAUUAAAACUCAAAUGAAUUGACGGGGACCCGCACAAGCGGUGGAUUAUGUGGAUUAAUUCGAUGCAACGCGAAAAACCUUACCUACCCUUGACAUGUAUCGAAGCCCGCAGAAAAGCGGGGGUGCCCGAAAGGGAACGAUAACACAGGUGCUGCAUGGCUGUCGUCAGCUCGUGUCGUGAGAUGUCGGGUUAAGUCCCGCAACGAGCGCAACCCUUGUCAUUAAUUGCCAUCAUUUAGUUGGGCACUUUAAUGAGACUGCCGG
rnacentral:rRNA from 1 species